GAAUCACGGUUGAAACAAGAUUUGCCAUGAGAAGUCAGCAGAUGCCAUAGUACUGUACCCGAGGAAGUCGACGUCAUCGGGGAAGGGC
rfam:Desulfosporosinus sp. OL contig00025, whole genome shotgun sequence.